rnacentral:rRNA from 1 species
CAGUAGCCGCGGUAAUACAGAGGGUGCGAGCGUUAAUCGGAUUUACUGGGCGUAAAGCGUGCGUAGGCGGCUAAUUGAGUCGGAUGUGAAAUCCCUGAGCUUAACUUAGGAAUUGCAUUCGAUACUGGGAAGCUAGAGUAUGGGAGAGGAUGGUAGAAUUCCAGGUGUAGCGGUGAAAUGCGUAGAGAUCUGGAGGAAUACCGAUGGCGAAGGCAGCCAUCUGGCCUAAUACUGACGCUGAGGUACGAAAGCAUGGGGAGCAAACAGGAUUAGAUACCCCAGUAGUCCCUGUCUCUUAUAC